UUUAAUUGAAGAGUUUGAUCAUGGCUCAGAUUGAACGCUGGCGGCAGGCCUAACACAUGCAAGUCGAGCGGUAACAGAAAGUAGCUUGCUACUUUGCUGACGAGCGGCGGACGGGUGAGUAAUGCUUGGGAAUAUGCCUUAUGGUGGGGGACAACAGUUGGAAACGACUGCUA
rnacentral:rRNA from 1 species